rnacentral:rRNA from 1 species
GGGCCCGCACAAGCGGUGGAGCAUGUGGUUUAAUUCGAUGAUACGCGAGGAACCUUACCAGGGCUUAAAUGCAUAAUGACAGGGGUAGAGAUACCCUUUUCUUCGGACAUUUUGCAAGGUGCUGCAUGGUUGUCGUCAGCUCGUGCCGUGAGGUGUCAGGUUAAGUCCUAUAACGAGCGCAACCCCUGUGGUUAGUUGCCAGCGAGUAAUGUCGGGAACUCUAGCCAGACUGCCGGUGCAAACCGCGAGGAAGGUGGGGAUGACGUCAAAUCAUCACGGCCCUUACGCCCUGGGCCACACACGUGCUACAAUGGCAGGUACAGCAAGCAGCCACUCCGCGAGGAGGAGCGAAUCUGUAAAGCCUGUCACAGUUCAGAUUGUCCUCUGCAACUCGAGGGCAUGAAGUUGGAAUCGCUAGUAAUCG